AUGAUGGAGACAUCACCUGUAUACUCUGUGGCUAGAGAUGCAUCAGGGAAUGCGUGGAAAGCCCUAUUUGAUUUAGCUGGGGGUUUGAUACGGGAGUACGAUCAAGAAGCUAUGGUAUCCGUAAGCAAAUUUGUCGAUCAGUUACCAUCAGUAAUGAAUCAGGUUACAGAAGGUGUAUCUGAAUUCAAGCCAACACCACCUGAGAACCGUGAAUUCUGCAAGAGUUCUUACAGUGUAGCUAAUACAUUAUUGGUGAAAUUCAGCGUUGAUGCUAUUGAUGAUACAGACAUAAUUGAGGACAUCUUGAGACCCCGGGUAGACUCAAUUGGUGGACAAAUAAAGAAGGUCGUACUGUCAGGAACACAUCUAACUCCGUGUAUACAGGAUGUUAAAUGGCAGGUUGGUUCAGAAUACACUCCAGCGGAUGCUCUGGCGCAGGGCUUAAAAUCAUUGGCUCUCAAUGAGACUAGGGUCCUCUCAAGAACUAUCGCUGACUACUUCAGAUCCCUUUAG
rnacentral:rRNA from 1 species